rnacentral:rRNA from 1 species
ACGCUGGCGGCGUGCUUAACACAUGCAAGUCGAACUGAAAGGCCCUGCUUUUGUGGGGUGCUCGAGUGGCGAACGGGCGAGUAACACGUGAGUAACCUGCCCUUGACUUUGGGAUAACUACAGGAAACUGGGGCUAAUACCGGAUAGGAGCUCCUGCUGCAUGGUGGGGGUUGGAAAGUUUCGGCGGUUGGGGAUGGACUCGCGGCUUAUCAGCUUGUUGGUGGGGUAGUGGCUUACCAAGGCUUUGACGGGUAGCCGGCCUGAGAGGGUGACCGGCCACAUUGGGACUGAGAUACGGCCCAGACUCCUACGGGAGGCAGCAGUGGGGAAUAUUGCACAAUGGGCGGAAGCCUGAUGCAGCAACGCCGCGUGCGGGAUGACGGCCUUCGGGUUGUAAACCGCUUUCGCCUGUGACGAAGCGUGAGUGACGGUAAUGGGUAAAGAAGCACCGGCUAACUACGUGCCAGCAGCCGCGGUGAUACGUAGGGUGCGAGCGUUGUCCGGAUUUAUUGGGCGUAAAGGGCUCGUAGGUGGUUGAUCGCGUCGGAAGUGUAAUCUUGGGGCUUAACCCUGAGCGUGCUUUCGAUACGGGUUGACUUGAGGAAGGUAGGGGAGAAUGGAAUUCCUGGUGGAGCGGUGGAAUGCGCAGAUAUCAGGAGGAACACCAGUGGCGAAGGCGGUUCUCUGGGCCUUUCCUGACGCUGAGGAGCGAAAGCGUGGGGAGCGAACAGGCUUAGAUACCCUGGUAGUCCACGCUGUAAACGGUGGGUACUAGGUGUGGGGUCCAUUCCACGGGUUCCGUGCCGUAGCUAACGCUUUAAGUACCCCGCCUGGGGAGUACGGCCGCAAGGCUAAAACUCAAAGGAAUUGACGGGGCCCCGCACAAGCGGCGGAGCAUGCGGAUUAAUUCGAUGCAACGCGUAGAACCUUACCUGGGUUUGACAUGGAUCGGGAGUGCUCAGAGAUGGGUGUGCCUCUUUUGGGGUCGGUUCACAGGUGGUGCAUGGCUGUCGUCAGCUCGUGUCGUGAGAUGUUGGGUUAAGUCCCGCAACGAGCGCAACCCUUGUUCACUGUUGCCAGCACGUUAUGGUGGGGACUCAGUGGAGACCGCCGGGGUCAACUCGGAGGAAGGUGGGGAUGACGUCAAGUCAUCAUGCCCCUUAUGUCCAGGGCUUCACGCAUGCUACAAUGGCUGGUACAGAGAGUGGCGAGCCUGUGAGGGUGAGCGAAUCUCGGAAAGCCGGUCUCAGUUCGGAUUGGGGUCUGCAACUCGACCUCAUGAAGUCGGAGUCGCUAGUAAUCGCAGAUCAGCAACGCUGCGGUGAAUACGUUCCCGGGGCUUGUACACACCGCCCGUCAAGUCAUGAAAGUUGGUAACACCCGAAGCCGGUGGCCUAACCGUUGUGGGGGAGCCGUCGAAGGUGGGACUGGUG